rnacentral:rRNA from 1 species
UAACACAUGCAAGUCGAGGGGAAACGACAUCGAAAGCUUGCUUUUGAUGGGCGUCGACCGGCGCACGGGUGAGUAACGCGUAUCCCACCUGCCCACCACUUGGGGAUAACCUUGCGAAAGUAAGACUAAUACCCAAUGAUAUCUCUAGAAGACAUCUGAAAGAGAUUAAAGAUUUAUCGGUGAUGGAUGGGGAUGCGUCUGAUUAGCUUGUUGGCGGGGUAACGGCCCACCAAGGCGACGAUCAGUAGGGGUUCUGAGAGGAAGGUCCCCCACAUUGGAACUGAGACACGGUCCAAACUCCUACGGGAGGCAGCAGUGAGGAAUAUUGGUCAAUGGGCGAGAGCCUGAACCAGCCAAGUAGCGUGCAGGAUGACGGCCCUAUGGGUUGUAAACUGCUUUUAUAAGGGAAUAAAGUGGGUCUCGUGAGGCUUUUUGCAUGUACCUUAUGAAUAAGGACCGGCUAAUUCCGUGCCAGCAGCCGCGGUAAUACGGAAGGUCCGGGCGUUAUCCGGAUUUAUUGGGUUUAAAGGGAGCGUAGGCCGGAGAUUAAGCGUGUUGUGAAAUGUAGACGCUCAACGUCUGCACUGCAGCGCGAACUGGUUUCCUUGAGUACGCACAAAGUGGGCGGAAUUCGUGGUGUAGCGGUGAAAUGCUUAGAUAUCACGAAGAACUCCGAUUGCGAAGGCAGCUCACUGGAGCGCAACUGACGCUGAAGCUCGAAAGUGCGGGUAUCGAACAGGAUUAGAUACCCUGGUAGUCCGCACGGUAAACGAUGGAUGCCCGCUGUUGGUCUGAAUAGGUCAGCGGCCAAGCGAAAGCAUUAAGCAUCCCACCUGGGGAGUACGCCGGC